CGGGAGGUACAGUGGUGUCCUGUCCCACAUUCGGUAUCCGCCUAUGUUAGGACGGUCAAAUCUGAAUGUAUGUCUGCACUUUUGAAGUGUUGAAGGGGCACAGUGCUGACUCUCCCUUGGUAAUUUCCUCUCCGAUUAAAACCACCAAACCAGCAUCAUGAAGCGCAUAGCGAUUGCACAAGUAUGAGUACACGUAGUGAAAUGGUCCUUAUGGCUUUAACGCUCAGCCUGCGGCGACCUCCUGUACAUGUUGACUAAUUUUGUCCACCCUGAAAUGGAGGGAGAUCACACAAAAUCUGCAAGAGGAUCUUGACAGGAAAUUUUUGAAUCAUGGCACGGACUGGGAAUGAUUAGCAGCCUCAGUGCUGGUAAACACAUGGCCGAAAUGGUGUCUUCGCACUUACUCAAAUUUGCUCCACCGAAAACUGUUGUUUAAGCAGGAAACCCUUUGCUCUGAUUCGCUACCCCUUAUUUAAACCCAAUUACGAGUGGCCUGUUGCCUAAUUUCGGAGUGUCUCGUGAUAUGCGAGAUUGCGUUUCAAUCUAAUAUCACACCGGAAACUUAGUUUUAGCAAGUAGAGAUUAGAAAAUUUAGAUUGACCGACCAUAUUCUUUGUGUCAAGAAUAAUCUAUCACGGUCUCGCGAUAAAGGGAUUCACUGUGUUCGUCUCUUUGAAACAUUGCCCCGGUCAUUCUCAAAAUUGUUGUCUUCGGCACCUUUGAGAUACGAAUACUCUGAGGAGAAUGUUUAGAUGUGCACGUAGCAAUUAGUUACCCUCCAUUGGCCCUGCCAUUCUUUUCACUGAUUUCAAGCACCAUUUCAGGAUAUUGAUACCAUUUUUUGACAACUUACUCGGGGACAGGGCUACAGAUCUGGUCUCCGCUUGAUACGAUGCGUGGCUCCUUCCCAGUUCUUAUGCCUGGACGGUCAUGCACUGGUAGGCCGCCGCGUAACCUUGGAGAUCAACAUCAAGCGGCUGUAGAAACAACAAUGAUAUGUGCAUUCUCAUAUUUCGAACUCAGGAACAUAAUUGAGACUCUCUGAACUCUGAGAAAGACUUGAGAGGACACUCCUGCAACAACUGUGGCAAUUCCAUGCAGUUAUAGCAGCAUCUGCAGCGGCGGUUCUCUCUAGUCUUUCUUGGACUUUGGAUGGCUUCUUCUGCAACAUCGUCAUCAAAGCCGAUUUUUCUGUGAACAACACUAGUCUCAAGUCACUGUCCCUGAAUCCAAGCUCCCCUAUGUAAUAAACGCAACAGUCCGCCGAAACUCAGCACCAACACACUUUCUACACUAGUCAGCUACAAACCUUCGAAGCUGGAGGUGGUGGUGGUGGUUCUAGAACAAGUUGCAGUAUUGUGCCGCAAAUCCAAAUCUGAUACCGAACAUUCAUUUCCUAGACUUGACCACGUCGCCAGUCUCCUCGAGAGUCGACCCAGCAGUUGAACACACCCGAUUGCAACGCGUGGAGCUACGCAAAAGCCACCGCGAUUGCUGACGUUCGAUCAGAAUCACACCAUUUAAUAUGCACGAAUUGAAGCAUGUACAAACCCCCAGAUGGAGCACAGUUGUGGAAGCCGCCGAAUACCACCUUCGACGACCAGGUUAGUGCGAUUGCAGAUCAAGAACGACAGUGGGGGAUGCAGAUUCCCACACUGUUAGCUCCAACUUGCUGGUAACCCCCCAUUUGUCUAGACUGGGCAAGACUGGGCUCCUUCGCCAUCGCUGCUGCUGCUGUUAGCACUAGUACGAACUCCGGCGUGUAGCCAAAUGAACAACAACAAAAACAAAACCGCAUUCAAGAGCUUGCCAAAGGCAGGCACCGAAGCUACACAUUUUGCUGCAGCAGUGCCCAGUUGAGAGGCUACUCUAUUGUGUCCAUAUUCUCAGUACCUCUGGAUCCUUCCCUCCACAGCUUAUAAUCCCACGAUGCCAUGGACUUGUUGCAAUUUUUUUCACAUACCAUGCACGUCCACCGAUGCGAGAGUUAUUGCAGAUGUUGUCAGCGCAAUAAUGUGGUGAUGCAAAACCUGAUUGUUGAGGAUGUCUAACAUGUGAUGUGUCUUUUCAACAAGGCUUGUUUUACUCCCUUGUGUGGA